rnacentral:piRNA from 1 species
UAACUAGUAAAUUAAAAAAUA